rnacentral:rRNA from 1 species
GAUGAACGCUGGCGGCGUGCUUAACACAUGCAAGUCGAACGGAAAGGCUCCUGCUUGCAGGGGUACUCGAGUGGCGAACGGGUGAGUAACACGUGGGUGAUCUGCCCUGCACUUCGGGAUAAGCCUGGGAAACUGGGUCUAAUACCGGAUAGGACGAUGGUUUGGAUGCCAUUGUGGAAAGUUUUUUCGGUGUGGGAUGAGCUCGCGGCGUAUCAGCUUGUUGGUGGGGUAUUGGCCUACCAAGGCGUCGACGGGUAGCCGGCCUGAGAGGGUGUACGGCCACAUUGGGACUGAGAUACGGCCCAGACUCCUACGGGAGGCAGCAGUGGGGAAUAUUGCACAAUGGGCGGAAGCCUGAUGCAGCGACGCCGCGUGGGGGAUGACGGCCUUCGGGUUGUAAACUCCUUUCGCUAGGGACGAAGCGCAAGUGACGGUACCUGGAGAAGAAGCACCGGCUAACUACGUG